rnacentral:ncRNA from 1 species
UGAGUUAGAGGUUGCGUUUUUAAUUAGUAACUGUUCAAGUGUUUGAUGGAACAAUUGUUGAGCAAGUGAAAGGUAAAAAUGCCGAAAUAAAUAAUAACCAUUAGUAUUAUUUAUUGGGCCAGUUAUCGAAAGGAACUGGACUGUCACACAUGUGAAGUGCUACCUA